AGAAGAAACGCCGCGAAGGACGCAGCGCGGCGCGGCGAACGCGGACGGCAGGGGAGAGACGCGCCGCCCGUUCUGGUGGAGCGUUUUCUCCCCGAGAAGCCGUGGUACGCGGCGCCGCGUGAUGACGUCACCCCCGGGAAACUCCGCGAAACCCGGAAGCGACAACGUCGGCGGGUGAGGAGGCGGAGCGAGGACGUUGGCGUCGGCAGCAGCGAGGAAGUGACGUGGGCAGCGAGCGCAGAAGAUGCGACCCCCACGAUCUUCGGCAUGUCGAGCCAAGAACUCUGCGCUCUGCUGGCAAGGCUCCCCGUGGACUGGGACGACACGGAUGACGACGAGAGCACGGGAGACGAGAGUUGGGCUCCGCCCAUCGCGCCAGUCUGCGAUCGUCGCAAGGUCCGUGGGGACCCACGUCACUUCCAGGGGGGUGAGAAGCGGCAACAACGGCGGCGUUCCUCCAGCGAGGAGGUGGGCAGCCUCCAGCCCGAAUGGCCAGAGUACUGCCCAUGGGAGCUUAUCGCGCCAUGGGUCCAGGAUGUCCGCAGGGUGGACGACCCUCGGAGUCACCGGUGGGAGGACACGGAUGACGAAAGCGAUGAUGACGUGGAUUUUCGGUGGGCGGUCGGUGCCGGGAUGGCUCCGCCCAGCGUGCGCGUCCGAGAUCAUCGCGGCGUCCGUGAUGACCCAUGUGACUUCCGGGGGUACGAGGUUGACACGGACGACGACCAGGAUCGUCACGAGGUCCGUGGAGACCCACGUCCCUCCCAGCAGUGUGAGGAAAGCUGGUGGAAGAGGGCGACGGGAUGUCGCCAGCCAGCAACUGCGCUGCCGGGACUGCCUCGCAGGGAAUCCUCCAUUCCUGCUCCAGUCGCCGACCCGCCUUCCCUCUGCCCGGACGUUCCCCAGCGAAAAGGCAGCGCAGCACCAGCGUCCACACCUGCUGGAGAAGACGUCCACCCCCCUCCACACCACACACCUACCACCAUCUCCAGCAACGUGCCCAGCCCCAUGUGGGACAGCCCAAUUGUCCCGGGACCCUUCAGUGGGGCAGCAGACACUGAUAAGACCACCACCAUCCUCUCGUGUCUGCUUGGGUCAGCAUGGGGCUGGAGCGCAGCCCUCUGGCAACAGGGAGAGACAGACAGCAGUUUUCGGGACUUCCAGCAGAG
rnacentral:lncRNA from 1 species